rnacentral:lncRNA from 1 species
GGAUUAUACCGAGUUGGAGAGUCGAGUGAAGCCCUGUCGAGGUUCCGGUCCACGGCUCUAUUAUUACAUCAAAAAUGAAAAUAAUAAGUUAAAAAGAUAACUUAAAUUACAAAAUCCUAUCUAUGCAACUUCUCUGAACUCUUGACUUGAGUUUCAUCACCCUAUUCUUCGGGCGGGCUCCCGACUUGCAAUUUCAUCAUCCUGUUCUCCAGGCAGGCUCCUGACUUGCUAUUUUCAAUCUGUUAACUUUCAAUUUCUUUACCUUGUUGCUUCACUCUUAACUUCUUCCCAUUGUUGCUUGACUUUCCAUUUAUUCACCCUGUUCUUCAGGAGGGUACCUGAAAUCGCAUCAAAACUAGAAAGAAAAUUAUUCCAAACAAAGAUUAUGAUAAAAAGAGAUUCCAUUUGCCAGAAAAGUAAAGUUCCAAACAACAGGAAUUAAAUUUCUCGCCCUAGUUUAUCAUUAAAGGACUUUUGUGAAUAUCAUAUCAUAAUUACUUGUAUGUUGCAAUGAUGAAUCAAGACUCUGACCAAGAAAUGCAUCUCUUGAGAGUAAAAUUAAAUGACCAAAUACUAGAAAGUGUGUCUCUUAAGAAUUAAAGUGAGAAAUGUUGACUAGAUAGUGCGUCUUCUAGAGCUAAAGGUUCAAAUUAGGAAGUGUGGCACCUGACAAAUGAAAACUGACAAGGAAGUGUGUCUCUUAAGGGUUAAGUUCAAUGAUUCGACUAGAAAGUACAUCUUCUAGGAAUCAAAGGAACUGACUCGACUUGGAAGUACAUCUUCUAGGAAUCAAGGGGAAUGACUUGACCAGAAAGUACAUCUUCUAGGAAUCUAGGGGAAUGACUCGACCAAGAAGUACAUCUUCUAGGAAUCAAGGGGGAUGACUCGACCAGGAAGUACAUCUUUUAGAAAUCAAGAGGGAUGACUUGACCAGGAAGUACAUCUUCUAAGAAUCAAGGGGAAUGACUCGAUCAGGAAGUACAUCUUCUAGGAAUGAAGGGGUCAUCUUCUAGGAAUCAAGGGGGAUGACUCGACUAGGAAGUACAUUUUCUAGGAAUCAAGGGGGAUGACUCGACCAGGAAAUAUAUCUUCUAGAAAUCAAAGGGAUUGACUCGACUAGAAAGUACAUCUUCUAGAAAUCAAAGAAAAAUGACUCGACUAGAAAGUACAUCCUCUUAGAAUCAAUGAGAAUGACUCGACUAGGAGGUACAUCUUCUAGGAAUCAAGAAUUAAGUUAGGAAGUGCAUCACCUAACAAGUAAAAUUUGAAUUACCCAAUCAAGGAAGUGCGUCUCUUUACCAAUGCCACUUGAAUUACCAAAACAAGAAAGUGUGUUUCCUUACCAAUGUCUCUUGAAUUACCAAAACAAGGAAGUUCGUCUCCUUACUAAUGUCGCUUGAAUUACCCAGACAAGAAAGUGUAUCUCCUUACAAAUGCCACUUGAAUUACGCAAACAAGGAAGUGUGUCUCCUUACAAAUACCGCUUGAAUUACCCAAAAAAGAAAGUGCGUCUCCUUACAAAUGUUGAUUGAAUUACCCAAACAAGAAAGUGUAUCUCCUUACAAAUGUCUCUUGAAUUACCCAAAUAAGGAAGUGCGUCUCCUUAUAAAUGUUGCUUGAAUUACCCAAACAAGGAAGUACGUCUCCUUACAAAUGUCUCUUAGAUCACCCAAGAAAAUGUGUCUCCUAGGGGUUAACUACUCAACUAGAAAGUACAUUUUCUAAGAGUAAAGGCUUAAGUCAAGAAGUGAACUACUUAACAAGCGAAACUUGAAUAUCUACUAAGAAAGUGUCUCUCCUAAGGGUCAAGUGGAACGAAUCGACUAGAAAAUGCGACUUCUAGGAGCAAAAGUUCAAUUUAGGAAAUACAUCACCUAAUAAAUGAAACCUGAAUUACUCAGAAAGAGGUGUAUCUCCUAGGGGUUGCAUGGAAGGACUCAACCAGACAGUGCAUAUUUUAGGAGUAAAGGCUUAAGUUAGGGAGUAUGUCACCUAGCAAGCCAAAACUUGAACUACCUUAACAAGAAAGUGUGUCUCCUAAGGGUUAAGUGGAAGGACUCAACUAGAAAGUACGACUCCUAGGAGUGAAGAUUCAAUUUGGGAAGUACAUCACCUAAUAAAUGAACUUGAAUUACCUAGACAAUAAAGUGUCUCCUAGAGAUAUUGGAUUAUGAGUUUUACCAUAGUUCUGAUCACCAAACCUGUGCAGCAGCAUUGUCUCCUAUAUUAGUAGCAUUGUCUCCUAUAUUAGUAGAAGUGAGAAAUUAUGGCCUUUGAUGUUUAAGAUUUUAAAUCCUUGAUUUGAAGAUAACAUUUGUUCCUAUUUCAUGCAAAGAAAACUUGUGUUCAAAAAUAUGGUGGCUGGUUUGUGACUUUAGCUUUUGCGGCAAUCGUUCUUGCCCCCGUCACAUUUAAUCUUGGUUUCAACCAUUAGCAUAUGUCAUUGACUUGUUGCAUCAUUGACCCAAACUCAAAUUAUUAAGAGUGACUUCGAAACAGACAUGGUACCUAGACUUUGCCAUGCUUCUCAGAUAACCCUUUGAACCUUGGUAUUUCCAUGAGUUUCCAGACUUAUCUAUUGAUGAAAACUUUUUGCAUGCCUUAUUUUGGCUCACAAUCAUGUUUCUUUCAUGUGCUGACCUUUUGUCUUGCUUUGUGCAAUUGAAGAAACUGGUAGCUAGUUUUGCAAUCUUUUCUCACUUGUUUUGACAUGAACUUGACUCAAAGACAAGAGAAAAAUGACAAUGAUUUUUUAUUUGAAUAACUGACUCAAGAAAAUAAAAUAAAAAUAAAGAGAAGAAAGAAAAGACAAUGAUUGUUCCCUUGAAACAAAGAAACAAAAAAUUUAUCUAAAAAUAACAGUCAACUCUAAUGAUUAUGCCAUACAUUUUGGAUUAAGCUGUCUGAUCUUUUCAUCCAAACUUUCUACCAAUUAUUCUUGAGUUAAUGGCCCUGAAACUAAGUUACUUCCUUAGGCCAAUUGCAUUUGAAGACUUUAUUUGGUUAGUGGCGCCUUGAAGAGUUUUUGCCAACAAGCCUUUCUCAUUUUCUUUCUCUCAGCUCAUCAUUUUCCUAUAGUGUCCAUGAGGGGUUUUCACCAAUGAGACUCUCUUAUUUUUAUUUCUCUCAACUCACAGCCUUCUUACAGUGCCCAUGAGAAUUUUUACCAAUAAGACUCUCUCAUUUUUAUCUCUCUUAACUUACCAUCGUCUUAUGGUGCGGUGCCCGAGAGGGUUUUCAACAAUGAAACUCUCUCAUAUUUCUCUCCAGAUUCCUUAUGUUGAGGAAGAUAAGUAACCAAAAUAUGCCAUCAUAUCCAUUGCAUGCUUAGCCUUAACAUUUUCAAAGAUUGAUCUGAAGGUCUUUCUUUGGUUGUAACUUGAUUUUUGGAUAAUCCACUUGUCGAUGUCUUGGUAACAAACAAUUCUGAAGCUAGGCCUGAAAGACUCUCACCGAAAUAAGCCAUGAGCAAUUCUUCCUCCCCCAGCGCCCCUUAAUUGGUUACAAUAGUGCCUCAAAUGUGCCACUGGGACAUCGUGCCCGUCGUAUUUCUCAAACUUCGGUAUUUUAAAGACAAGAGGGAGAUUAACAUCUGGAAACAUGCACAGAUAUUUAUAUGAGACACUUUUGUACCUCCAAGUCCUUGAAAAUUCUUCAUAGCCAAUUCCAAACUUCUCAAUUUUCUGGUCAUUUCCUUUUGUUCUUCUUUCAUAAAAUGCUUUUCAGCAUUAAGAUAAAAUUCAGGUGGAUGACUGUAGCCAUAUAGACCAGUCGACUUAAAUGUGGGCUCGAGAGAACAAUGUUGAUCACCAAAAAUAUUUAAUACAGGGUCGCUUGUAAAGUAAGGAAUUACAACCGUUGGAUUGACAUUAAAAGCAGGAGCUUCAGGAAGGGGUGGAGCCACAAAAGCAUGAACAGUAAGUAGAUACGAGUAUGUGGUAACUUUGUGUUGAGGAGUAAGGAAAUGAAUAUUGGAAGUGUUUGGAUAGUGUUGGCCCGGUGUAGUCCCUGAUGCAUGUUGUGGCAUGUGAAAAAAAAAUAAAAAAAUUGUGCAUAUGACACGGGAGGCAUGCUAGAAAGAUAUUCUAGAUUAUCAGUGGGAAAUGGAGGCGGUGGCAACCCAUUAGCCCAAACUCAAUGCAUUUCUAUCAUUUGCUGCCUUAUUUUUUGAAUCCCUUCAUUAGCUCCUAAAUUUUCAUUCCUUGAACUCUAUCUUAUUAGUGACAACAACCUCGGUAUUCUUAUUGGCCAUAACUUUCUCUUCGACUUGGUGCAAUAUGGAGGAUCGACCAAAAUGUCACAAACCAACCACCUUAAACUAACUGAACAAGAGAUAACAAAGGCGUUAGAAUGCAAUACUUUUCAAAAAAUCUUUUGCUUGUUUUCUUUUGAAAAGAUCACUGAAUCCAAGAAGGGAGCCUAUGUAUCUCACUCCCGCGAGAGGAGAAUUAGAUGUGCGUAGUUCGUGAAGUCUUGCUAAAAUGGCCAAUCAAACUCUUUUUCCUUUUUUUUUUAGGUUUUUUCUCUCAAAAAAGUGGGCUUAUUGAAUAUCAUAUUGGUUUGGCUUUGUUCACAUUCAGUAGCAGCUUGCUGGUGUCCUUUCAGGUCAGGAACUCCUGCAAUAGGCAGCUAGCCUAUUGGAAAAAGACUACUCUCAUCCCUCUACUUUCAGUCGAGUGAGCUAAUUUUUUUCGUGCUUCUUAAGUCGAAGUUGACCUGUAUAUAAGUCAGAUGUUGGUGGAUUCCUCCCCCAGAGAGGUAACCAUCCCCGGUCUUCUAAUCACUAGUCUUGUUGUAAGCCCCUCUCAUCCCCCUCAUGUGGGGGAGAACAGAUCCCCUUCCCCGGGGCCUAGAAAAUCAUUCAAGAAUAUCAUUAUAAAUGGUUGCGAUUUUUGAAACUUUGAGAAGAAAAAAAAAUAACAAUUUGUCAAAAUAAUUGACAAAAAUCUAUUUGCAUUUUUCAGAUUUAAAUCCCUAUACAAAAUAAAACCUAUGAUUACCAAAGAAAAAUCUUUUUGAGUUUUCGAUUCUGAAUUUUAUAUGAAAAUGAAACUUGAAAUUAUUAAAAAAAAUAUUUUUGUAAUUUUCUUUUUAAAAUGUAUAUAUAAAACAUCUACUCCAAAUGAAGAGUGAAGAAAAUAUUUUUAAAUUUUUUGAAUAAGAUCACCAAACCCUGAAAGGGAUGCCUACGUAUCUCACUCCCAGGAGAGGAGAAUCAGGUGUGCUUAGUUUGUCCAAAUUGGACAAUUAAAGAUCAACUAACAAACUAAACCUUGACAAAUGAUGAAAAACGCUAAUAAAAUCUUUUUGAAUUUUUAAUUUGACACUUCACAUAUAAAACUGACACCAACAACUACGAAAGAAUUUUUUUUUUGAUAUUUUCGUUAUAUGAAAUGUACAAAAUUUUUACCAUCUUUUUUUUGUAUUUUCUUUUAUAAAAAUCUCCUAUUGAAAUUUUUUUUUUUAAUUUUCGAAUUGUGAAUGCUUGCUAAAGAGAACAAAAGAAAAAAAAAAUUGAGGUUUUUUUGUAUUUUGAGAAAAUGAGUGCAAAAGAUAAAAAAUCUUUUUGAAUUGUGGAAAAACAAAAGCUGUAAAAAAACUCAAAAAAACAAAGAAACUCUUCUUUUUUGACUCAUUUUUCUUCUUUUUCCUUUUUUUUAUUUUUCAAUGCCUACACACCUUUCUUUAAUUCUAGCACACCUAAUCAAUCCUCAAAGAUGCAAUAAUUAGCACAUGGGGACGCUUUAGGGGUGAGUCUCCUACAAAGGACCAAGUGAGUCUCGUUAGGUCUCAAUAUGAUGCAGAUAAGCAUGACCUAAAGGUUGACCUACGCUGGGGUCCACUAACAAGGUUGUUCGGGGGAGCAUAUGAUCGAUAGUAGCUGCUUUGCUUUCCACCUACUUCAUACGUCCGACGACUCACCCUCCUAAAAUAAGGCAGUAUUCAACAAUGAUAAAACACUAACAUAAACACUAACACAAACAAUUCCUAUACACUUCCAAUGUCAAACUAAGAUGAUACAACUCCAAAAAAUAAGCUCGAAUUCUGAAAAGAUCCCCAGCAGACUCGCCAUAGUAUUUACACCCUUUUUUUAACCAAAAAGAUUAAUUUUAAGUUUGAAAAGAAUUUUUAUUAUUAAAGUGACAAAAUAAAGAUCUGUUUCGAAAAAAGUUCUUUUUCAUUUAACUCAAAGUCGUCACUUGGCCUAAUCGGAUGUGCCAAGUCACCUUUGAAAAUCUGUUUUUCAAAACUGUUUUUGACUCUUUAAAACUGGUUUGCAAACAAAGAUUACGGUUAAGGAAUUCUGUUGACCGAGGGAAAAGUGUUAGGCACCCCUCGAUCCCGUGGUUCUACCACGGCCGCUUCAAGGAGCAUAUCGGCUAGUUCGACACUGCGAGUGUAUAAACCACAUAGAACACACAACAAUCAAACAAACAAACACAAAUAAAACAAAUCCCAAAAUAUAAUAUCCAGUCCAAUUUAUACAGUCCCAAAAUAAAAAAAUGCAGAAAUGUAAACCUACGCUAAUCUACACUAAUCCUAAACUGCGCUUCAAUGUUUUACCCGAUGCCUUGGGCCUUGAUCACGAGCAUCUUUUGCGUACACUAUACUUCGGGGCAUUUCCCAGUGAAUAAACACAAAUGACCACAGGGCAUUCCUUGGCUAAAUGAAUACAUUUUCCAAAUGCGAGAAAAAGAGAAUCAUUCAACAAACAUUCCACAUUACUCAACAAUCCAUAAAUUCUAAAUUUACCUAUCCAAGCUACUAUUUGCCUACCCCAUUCGACCUAUCAUGAUACUAUUCAGAAAUUGACAAUUAGACGCAAAGGUAACAAUAACAGUGAAUCAAAACAACUAAUUUAUAUUCAUUUUUAUCAAAUUCUUAAUUCCCGCCCGAAUUUCAUUCUUGAUUAAUUAACAAAUUCCAAUAUAGGUUCAACAAAUCAAAGCCACGACAAUUAUAGACGCUCAAACAUACUAUCAAAAAUUAUAUCAUCAAUCACUACGAACCACACAAAUCACAACGUCAACACAUCAUGUUACGAUAAAAAUGGAAAAGAUAAAGUUGAAGAAUUGGACCUCAAUCUUAUUUCAAGUGUGAAUUAUGCGAUCAAAAUGGAGCUUUGUGAAUCCAAAACCUCGAACGAAAACCCACUUAGUCGACGCUUCUUCUCCAUAGGGAAAAGCAGAUUUCAAACAAACUCGAAUGUUAUUAACCCCAAACUUCA